ACUAUCAAUUUAGAAAUUCCCUACCCCAUAAAAGGGGUAAUCACAUUACUUAUUAGUGUUUGAGAUUGCUCAAGGAGUUGUUCGUGAUGAAGACCGUUUGGAGAUCCAUUCGUUGGAACCUUAGAGAGGAUUGUUUGUGGCACUUGGGGAACCUGCAAAGGUAAGAAUCGUUCUAACCUUUUCCCCAAUAGCAUGCUAGUUUAUGUGUAUAUCUAUUUCCUCUAGUACAACGAUUUUAUUUAAUAUAAAAAUCGAUUUGCGAGAUACAAGGUAUUCUAAUACAAUGCUUCCGCUGCGGGAUUUGAUCCCUUCAAUUGGUAUCAGAGCCAAUUCCUUGCAUCUUCGUUCUGCGUGUUUUUCGAAACAAAAUCAUCUAGAAGUGGAUUUUUUCAUAUUCUACAUCAUGAAUGUUUAAAAGUUGGUUUUCAAAAUUGGAUGUUUUUUUUUUGCUCUAGAUUACUUUUUAAUUUGAUUAAAUUUGUAAGGGCCCGUUGUAUUUUUAUGCAAUUUAAUUCAUGCUUCGAGUCUGUAAGUCUGUUUCGAUCGAUAGAGCAAUAGUUGCUGAAGAGAUUGAGAUCAAAAGAAGGUGUUCGGGGCAAGUUUAGAGUCGAAAACGAGGAGGACAACAACAAUCUGCCACUCAGUGUUGCGAUGCUGCUAUCAUUUAGGGACAAGACCAAGUAGAAGCUAGGAACAUAACUACACAAGAUAGAAUUCGCUCAUUCUCAUCUUGAAGGUAAAAUGGUCCCCGAGGCAUUUAGGAAUUAUUACAAGAAAAUCGGGCCAAAAAGAUUAAAAAAAAUGACCAAGAAAAUCAACAAAUUGAAGAGAAUCAAGUAAUUACCCAGAAUGCUAUCGAGUAAGGUUGUUGAGCUAUCGAGCAUCGAGUAUUUAACAGAAUACUAUCGUGUAUAAUCGAAUAAGGACUGUCGAGUAAUCAGCUAUCGAGCCAUCAAGUAUCAUCAAAUAUCAUCGAGUAUUCAAGUAUCGAGUCAUCAAGUUCCUUCUUAUUCAUUUUUCAUUGAGUAAAAUCUAUCAAGUAAAGGACAUCCAGCAUCGUGCAUCAAGUAUUGCAUUAUUGUGCAUCGAGGAUCGAGUAUGAAACAGAAAACUCACUUUUUGAACUAUAGAAAACUCAAUGCGUUCAUUCUUUUUUCCGGAUCUUGACGCCAUUCAUCCUCGCGCCUCACGAUGUUAUGUUGCUGGUAUAAAUAAGUUCAGUUUUUCAACAAAACAGAGACCAGAUUUCAUUUGUCAAAAAA